GAAUAAUCUCGGGAAACUGGGCAUAAUUCUUGAUAGAUCAUAAUGCCUGGAAUGGUUUAUGGUUAAAAUGAUUCGUCGCCAUAGGAUGGGACUGCGGCCUAUCAGCUUGUUGGUGAGGUAAUGGCCCACCAAGGCGAUUACAGGUACGGGCUCUGAGAGGAGAAGCCCGGAGAUGGGUACUGAGACACGGACCCAGGCCCUAUGGGGCGCAGCAGGCGAGAAAACUUUGCAAUGUGCGAAAGCACGACAAGGUUAAUCCGAGUGAUUUCUGCUAAAGAAAUCUUUUGCCAGUCGUAAAACCGCUGGUGAAUAAGGGGUGGGCAAGUUCUGGUGUCAGCCGCCGCGGUAAAACCAGCACCUCAAGUGGUCAGGAUGAUUAUUGGGCCUAAAGCAUCCGUAGCCGGCUUUGUAAGUUUUCGGUUAAAUCCAUGUGCUCAACGCAUGGGCUGCCGAAAAUACUGCAUGGCUAGGGAGUGGGAGAGGUAGACGGUACUCAGUAGGUAGGGGUAAAAUCCUUUGAUCUAUUGAUGACCACCUGUGGCGAAGGCGGUCUACCAGAACACGUUCGACGGUGAGGGAUGAAAGCUGGGGGAGCAAACCGGAUUAGAUACCCGGGUAGUCCCAGCUGUAAACGAUGCAGACUAGAUGAUGCAUUGGCAUAUAGCCAUUGCAGUGUCUCAGGGAAGCCGUUAAGUCUGCCGCCUGGGAAGUACGUACGCAAGUAUGAAACUUAAAGGAAUUGGCGGGGGAGCACCACAAGGGGUGAAGCCUGCGGUUCAAUUGGAGUCAACGCCAGAAAUCUUACCCGGAGAGACAGCAGAAUGAAGGUCAAGCUGAAGACUUUACCAGACAAGCUGAGAGGUGGUGCAUGGCCGUCGCCAGCUCGUGCCGUGAGAUGUCCUGUUAAGUCAGGUAACGAGCGAGAUCCCUGC
rnacentral:rRNA from 1 species